rnacentral:lncRNA from 1 species
GGGCCUGGGACAUGAUGUGGCCACUUGUAGGCGUGCUGCUGGGCCUGGACUGCUGUUUGCCUUGGGAUCGAGGACAGGAAUCCUGAUGGUGACGAGGUGUGGCGAUGGUGACCAGGUGUGGUGAUGGUGACCAGGUGUGAUGGUGACCAGGUGUGGCGAUGGUGACCAGGUGUGGCGAUGGUGUGGCGAUGGUGUCCAGGUGUGGUGAUGGUGACCAGGUGUGGUGAUAGUGACCAGGUGUGAUGGUGACCAGGUGUGGCGAUGGUGACCAGGUGUGGCGAUGGUGACCAGGUAUGGCGAUGGUGACCAGGUGUGAUGGUGACCAGGUGUGAUGGUGACCAGGUGUGAUGCUGUAGAAAGGCGGGCGACAGGUUCCUAGAUCCUGGUCCUGGGAGAAAACACCAAACGCUCCCUGCCCCACACGCUUGCGCGGAGGGAGAGCUUGGCCAAACUGUACCUGACAGUGCUGGGCUGUCACACGUGGUCGUUAGAGCAUUAGCCGUGUUAGCAGCGGUUCUCCUCAACUCUCUCUCCCGAGCGAGUUGCCCUUGACUCUUGGGAAAAGCACGAUUAUGAGCACAGGUGAUUGCAGGGCCACGGAGCAGUGGCGGCGCGUGUGGUCUUGAGUGUGGGGCUGCUGCCCCAGUCCCAGUACCUCUGCCCUCAGGCCCCUUGCCAGGCCCCAGCAGGCUGGGGCAUCACUGGCGGCCACGGCCCCCUUGGCUGCGGGUUCUGCAUGCUUUGUUUCCGCAUGGGACCCCUGCCUCGUGUUUCUAAAAAUAGCCCCCGUUCCCCGGAGGGUCCCUGGCACAGGCCCCACCCGGCCAGGGUGCGGAUCCCGUUCCAGGGCCCGGCUGUGUGCCCAGGGCUCUUUUCCACCUUUCGCCAGGUUGCCAGACCCUUCUGGGCACCCGAGGCUGGAAGAAAGCAGAGUGUGGGGGGCCUGUCCUGAGAGGGGCAUCGUGACAGCUCGGCUUCGGAGGCUGGGUGGGCGCUGAGGGCCGGGGGGACCCAAGCACAGCAGCGCCCCCCCCCCGCCCUGGGCCCCCCUGCUCCCCGUCAUCCUGGCCCAGGACACCUCGUGCGUCUCAGGAGCCCCUUCCAGAAGGUUCUGUGACUCAGGAGUCCUGCCCAGUGUGGGGCUCGGUGGGUGUCGGGGGGCAGGCAGGGGCGGGGUGCAGUUUCUGCCUUGGCUAUUAUCACAUUUAAAACUAGGCGGGCGCUGGGGCCUGGCCCUGCUGUGCCCCGGGGCCUCCGUCCUGCUGUCAGCCAGGCCCGUGGGGGGCACGUGGGGCCGGUGACCCCACCCGGAAGUGGAGCAGGUGUCCUGGGCAUCACAGGGUGGAGAGCAUGCUUUGCAGCAAACUCGCGUGGAGUCGUGAAGGCCGCGAGCCGGAGUGUGGUCAGUGCCGCCGCGAGGCCCUAAGAUGGGCCCGUGUGGAGCCUAGACGUGCGCGCAGGUGGGCUGGCCCGGGUCAGGGGUUAGGCUCACACGGUGGGGCUUAUUCCCGGGGCAAGAGCUGUGUCCCCGUAAACCAGUGUCUAGAAGCAGGACUGACUGCGGCGGGCAGCGUUCCCUGAGACCUCAGAUCCCCAAGUAAUGACAUAAAUAUUUGCGUACUGAGCGCAGUCUCCGUUUUGGGGAACCCCUGUAACCCCGAGUUUGCCCACAGCGCUUCACUCCGUCUCUGUGUUUGCUGCCUGCAGGUGAGACGUGGUGAGACGUGAUCCCAAAUGUGCUUAGAGGAGAAGGGCGUGAGGAGAGCGUCUGCCGGAGUCCUCUGGGCGCACUCGGGGGUGCGCGUGUGCGUGUGCAAAUGGGUUUAAACUUGAAACGCAGGUUUCCUCGGUCCAUUCGUCUGCGGGCGGCUAGAAUUCAGUGACAGGGAAAGAGAGCUGCACAUGUGCCAAUAACUUGAGCAUGACUGACAGCCAGACGAAGUUGGUAUUCUUUCUGCAAUUCUGGAAACUUCUAGAAGAUAUGUUGGAAUGCUCUUUUGAAAAUAGUUCAUGUAGAAAUAGUGUUAUAUACACAAAAAU